GAUUGGGGCUUUAUCAGACAGCUAUGUAGCCUACACUGUUAGUUUGCGUCACAUUAUUGACAGCUGAUACACAGCAUAACUGUCAUGAGCACUCUCUCUCCCUGGUAGCAACCUUAAUUGCAUUCAAUUCUCUGCCACUCUGCUCACUCUCUCCCUACUCUGCCUAACGAGCUCCACCUGGCUCCGCCCUGCUCUGCUCUUGUUACCUGGCCAGCUGCACUGCAUUUCCCACUCACCAUCCUCACCUUGCCUCACUCUGUUCUAAUUACUCUGCCAGCUGCACUGCAUUUCCCCACUAACCUCUCCCAGUAUAUCAAGCCCUGUUUUUCAGCCAAGCCCUGUCAGAUCGUCUUCAUACCUGGACCAGUAACCUGCCUGUCUGUCUACCCUCUGACUCCUACCUGUGAUUCUGAUCCGUUCUCGACUGCCGUCCUGUUCUACUGCCCCGGCUAUCCCGACCUGCCUUCUGGACCUCGACUACUCUCCAAUCUUCAGCCCCUCCGGUCUCCGACCACCAGACGAGCGAGCCCAGACGCUUCACCACCCUCAGCCCGAUACGCCGCUCGAUCACUGGGGGACACACACACUAGGCACUUUGGACUGGAAACCCCCGGACACUUGGUGACCCCCGGAGCCCAGGUAACCCACAGGACCCUGAAGAACCCCUGAGCCCCAAGCACCCCUGGAACCCCUGACACUCCUGGCACUCCUAGCACCCCUGGACCCGGCACCUCCGAAGACCUCAAGAUACACUCACUCCUCUUCCCCCCCUGAACCCCUUCAAUAAACAACUCUGAAUUUGAA